rnacentral:rRNA from 1 species
GAGGAAUAAGCAUCGGCUAACUCCGUGCUAGCAGCCGCGAUAAUACGGAUGAUGCAAGCAUUAUCCGGAAUCAUUGGUCUUAAUGUGUCUGUAGAUGGAUUAAUAAGUCUGUUGAUAAAGACUAGGGCUUAACCAUAGAAAAGCAAUGCAAACUACUAGACUAGAGUAUCGCAGGGGCAGAGGAGAUUUCUAGAGUAGCGGUCAAAUGCGUAGAUAUUAGCAAGAACACCGGCUGCGACAGCCCUCUACUGGACCAUUACUGAGACUCAGAGGCGAAAGCUGUGGUAGCAAAAGGGAUUAGAUACUCUUGUAGUCCUAGCCGUAAACUAUGGACACAACAUGUUGUGCAUCAUGGCCAGUAUGCUAACUAGAGCGUAAACUCUCCCGCCUGGGGAGUACGCUCUCAAGGCUGAAACUCAUAGCAAUUGACAGGAUCCCGCACAAGCGGUGGAGCAUAUGCGUUAAUUCGAUGCAACCAGAAGUACAUCAUCAGGACUUGACAUACUACUAAUUCAUUUGAGACACAGAAGUGCGUUCUGGAAUGUAUAUACAGCUGUUGCAUGCCUGUCGUAAGCUCGUGUCGAGCAGAGUAGAGUCCAGUCCCGCAACGAGCGCUACCCUAAUUUAUAGUUACUCAUUCGUUGACUUCUCUAUGAAGACUGCUCGUGACUAAUCGGAGCUAGGUGAUUAUAAUGCCAAGUCAAGAUGCACCUUAAGUACUGGACAAUCCACGUACUACAAUAGCUACGACAAGAGACGCGAGCUCAUUACAGACAGCACUCUCAUCCACUUAGCCCAGCUGCAGAUGUCGGCAGCAACCCGCUACUUAAA